UGCUGCUCGCUUCGUGCUGCCGCUGCUGCUGGCUUCUCUUAGUUAUUCCGUUGUCGUCGACGUUACCUGGAAUAAAGUAAAGCAGUGUGUAAAGAGUUUCUUGACAUACUGUAUCUCCGCCGUGUUACAAACGACAUAUCUCCGCGGGGAGAUAUGACGUUUUGAAACGACAUAUCUCCGCCGUGUCACAAACGACAUAUCUCCGUAACUGUAACUGUAAAUGUACCGUAAAAAAUAUUGUCUUAAUUGAGCAAAUAUAGCUACUGCAUAAUUUAUCAACAGCGUUUUUAUUAGGAAGUUAAUUUCAUUAAACAAAAAUUGUUAAAGAAUGCCGUGUUGUAUUUAAUGUAAUAUGCAGAAUAUGAAAAAAGUCGCGAGUUUGCUUCACUCUUUCAAAAUGGUGGUAAUGGAAAUCAGACACAGAAGAAGAAAUUACCUGAUCGCUCAAAAAAAAUCAUGGACGCAAUGGAUCUUUUUGAAGGAGGUGAAAUAGAUAUACAGGGAUUUCUGACAUGCACUGUUUCCUUAGCUGACCGCUUUUCAAAGCAGGACUUCUUUGAAGGGGUGGAUGAAAGCAAUUUAACUGGAAUGUCUUCUGAUAUGAAAUCUUCCACAUCGUCACUUUCAUCGAAUGCUUCUCAUUCAAGUCAGUCAUCUGAUAAAUCAUUGGUUUAAAUGAAUCCAUGCAAUGUGUGCCUAUGUAACCCAAAGUCUGUGUUGUUGCGCCCGUGCAAUCACGUAAACAUUUGUGGUACAUGUUGGGAUCAAAUUGUGGC